AUACUUAAUGAGAAACAUAUUAUGGAAAAGCGCAUUGCAUAUAUGCGAAUGGCAUUUGAUCAGCAGCAACAAGAUUUGGUUGAUGUUGCAUCAAAAUCUUUAGCCUAUAGACAAGACAUAAUCCCAACAUGUCAAGAGGGUCAAUGUCAAAGAGUCAUAUUUAUCCAGC